CAUAGGCAUGACUGAUACAGCAGUACUUGCAAGACGAGCAUACAAACAGACACGUGUGUUACUAUGUUCAGAAGAACUGUAUCUCCAGUUCCUUUGUUUGGUUUUUGCUGGUUCGUGAAUAAUGGCGGGACGACGUCUCGCGUUCAACUCGCCUUCAACUCCUCUCCGCGGUCACCAACUUUCGGCCAGUCCGCAGACAGACGAGAAGAAGCUGCUGAAUGCUCUCAGUGGAUCGUCUCGUCAACUCCAACAACAAACUGCCAAUAUCAACGAGCGGUUCGCUCCACUGGAGCGUUCAGGACUCUGCGGGUUUCUGUCCAUGGAGGAGAGGAACCGACUCAAAGAAGAGGAGACGGGCGCACAAUCCCACGAUAGCGGAAGCGGUGCGCCGUCUUCACAACUCCGAGACGAACUACAGGCGCUACGAACCCGAGCAAGGACUAAUGUCGCCUCAUAAUGAGGCGGUGACCUCGUAUUUGCUCCGGGAAAAGUCCAGAUUUAGACGACGUCAUUGUGUCCGCCUGUGAGACGUAUUGUGAGACUGUACGCAGGAGCUUCAGGUUCAGCCGGAACACUCACUGCGGGCUGAAACUGCGAAGGAUUCAGCGCGGAGUCGAGCGAGAAGAAAGAGGCUGCUGGAAUCGAGACAAAGUGCUGGCUGAUGACGAGGUGGAAAUCCGCCACCGUGGAGCUCACGUCGGACGGAGGGGACGGCGUUGUUGGCGGGGUCUCGGGGUGGAUUGUACGGUCGCCACCCGCACACGAGGCGCCUGCACAACAGACCUGCCUCGGAAAACACGGCGCCAGUGACGGUCAACAACCCCGAGGAGGCAGACGGACAGUUUACUGAGCUGUAGUUUUUAAACCGCCGUUACCCAAGUGUGGGCAGAUCCUCACUUUGUAUGUAGUUGUUGUUGUUGUGUUGUUAAUAAAGCUCUUUCUUUG
ensembl:lncRNA